GAUUUUUUUUUCUUCAUUCUUCAUUCUCUAACUUCUCUCUACUUUCUCUCUCAUUUUCCUUUACUUUCUUGGAGGCCAAACACCACACCUUUGCUCCACCCUUACACCACCACCUUGACCCACCAUCUCCACCACCUCCGGCCACCUUAUCUCGCCGGAAAAUGGGUCCGGUCGGCACUCCUUGAAUCCAUCCGAAAAUAACACAAUAGAAGCACAAACUCUAGAUUUUUCUUAAUCUUUUGAAGAAUCAAAGCAUGGGAUUUAUUUUCUUGAUGGAUUAGAGGCUUGUACUUGGAUUGGAGGAAGGCAUCUCUCCACCUCUUGGAAAUUAAUUUGUAGAGUUUCAAAUCUACACUUUUGCUAUUUUUGGAGAUUCAUAGACUUUUGUGUGGCUCGCCUCAACUUGAAAGACUAGAAUUUUUUUUUUGAAGGAUCACAGGUG